CUUCUCUCUCGCGAUACCCAGUCAGAGUCUCUCUCAUCCUUCUCACCAAUAAACUCUCUCUCUUCUCUCUUGCAAUACCCAGAGUCAGCCUAAACCCUCUAUGCCUAUACCCACAGUCACAGUCACUCUCUCAUCCCUCUCACCUUCAGCAUCUCUCUUCUUCAUUGAUCUCUUCUCAGUCCUUUAUCUUUACCAUUAUCUAUUCCUAAACCCUAAAAGAGAGAGCCAUAGACGUCCUUCUCCUCGUCGACAGGAGCCAUCAGAGUCCCUUUGUUUACCUCUGUCGUCGUCGUCCUCCAUGUGAGAUUAUUUUAGUUAGGGUUUCAGUUUAUUGGUUUCUCUCUCUAGGAACACACCUUCUCAUGUACUUUCUUCCACUUUCUCACCAAUCAAACAGACGGAGGUCAUUAUAAAAAGUUUAAUUUUUUGGCUGCUGCAGAGAUAGAUCAGUCGCCGAUGUCUCUGUAACUGUUCGUGAGACAAUUUAUGUAUCUUCUUCUCAAAUCAACAGCGCCACGUCUUUUGAAGUCUCUGGUAAUCUCUCUCUCAGUGGCUUGCUCACCCCUCGCUCAGUCUCUCUUCCUCCAUUGUUCUACUCCGACGCUGUGGCUGGAGCUAGAGAGGCAUUAAUAUGGUGUAUCAUCUCUGUACAUGUCAUUGAAUUGGAAGAAAGAUUUAAGCUAUGAAAGUGAUAUGAAGAAUGCAGUUGGUGUGUCCUUGCCAUUAAUAUAUGCAGUUGUAAAAAGCAUCCAGGAGGAAGUUUUCCCCAAAAGUUGCUUACUGAACAUUGAGAUUCCUAGUUCUCCUUGGACAAAUAAGGUUCUUAGCAGCAUCGCUUUAUGGUUAUUUACAGCUGCAAAGGCUCCCAAAGACAAACAUCCAUAUGGUCACUCUUGAUUUGUACCUACACGGUACUCCAUUGAUCUCACAUUAUGCCACGUAGCUGGAGCCGUGAGGGAAAGAGGGGAGAGUGGCGUGAGAGAGAGGAGUUUCUAGGACCAAAAUUGGAUUGCCUCGUAUGUGUGAUAUAGCCAUGUAUUUAUAGUGCUCUUGCCUUCUAGGGUUUGAAGAAUAAUCCUUAUUUAAUUAAAAUUGUUCUUAUCCAAAAAUAGGAGAUUGUAAUUAAUCAAGGAGAUUUGAUGGAAAUUUCAUCCUUGCUUUAGGGAGAUAUUCCGAUCUUAAAUCAAUUAGUAACUAAUUGACCUAGGGAAUUUCCCUUUUCCACA